rnacentral:rRNA from 1 species
UACGAAGGGGGCUAGCGUUGCUCGGAAUCACUGGGCGUAAAGCGCACGUAGGCGGCUUCUAAGUCAGGGGUGAAAUCCUGGAGCUCAACUCCAGAACUGCCUUUGAUACUGGAGAGCUUGAGUCCGGAAGAGGUGAGUGGAACUCCGAGUGUAGAGGUGAAAUUCGUAGAUAUUCGGAAGAACACCAGUGGCGAAGGCGGCUCACUGGCCCGGUACUGACGCUGAGGUGCGAAAGCGUGGGGAGCAAACAGG